rnacentral:rRNA from 1 species
AUGAGGCCACCGGACAUGUAUGACCAUGGCGGCAGCUCGUCGUCCCGGCCGCGCGGCAAGGAGGAGCUGCAGCCGGAGGUGGUUCUCUACACGGCGUCAUCAGCUUCAGCGUCGCGCCGCAGAGCGCGCACCUCCGCCGGCCGCUACGCCUUGCGCGCGCUGCUGCAUGGCUACGGCCUGGCCGUGGACGAGCGCGACGUGUCCAGGAGCAAAGCGCAGCGCUGCGAGCUCAAGUCGUUGCUCGCGGCUCGGGGCUGCGCCUUCUCCCUCCCGCAGCUCCUCGUGGGCGGCCGGCUCGUCGGCGGCCCUGAGGAUGUUAGGCAGCUGCACCGGGCCGGCAGGCUGCGGCCUCUCCUGGACGCCGCCCCAAGGCCGAGCCCGGCCUUCGUCUGCCAAGCCUGUAAGAGGGUCGGCUCCGAGCCCUGCCCAAAGUGCAGCGAGUCCCGCAACAAGAUGCUGGAUCACGGCGUUAUUGCCGACGAGCAGGACAAGGUUGUCCUUUUUUAUCCAACCCAAGGUGACACUUCGCUUCGCUCCUUUCUACUCCCUCCGUUCCUAAAUACUUGUCUCUCUAGAGAUUUCAAAUGGUCACCACAUACGGAUGUAUAUAGACAUAUUUUAGAGUGUAGAUUCACUAUAUACAUCUAUAUACAUCCGUAUGUGGUGACCAUUUGA